rnacentral:rRNA from 1 species
AUACAGAGGGUGCGAGCGUUAAUCGGAAUUACUGGGCGUAAAGCGCGCGUAGGCGGUUCGGCAAGUCGGGUGUGAAAUCCCCGGGCUCAACCUGGGAAUUGCAUCCGAAACUGCCGGGCUAGAGUGUGGUAGAGGGAAGCGGAAUUCCGCAUGUAGCGGUGAAAUGCGUAGAUAUGCGGAGGAACACCAGUGGCGAAGGCGGCUUCCUGGACCAACACUGACGCUGAGGUGCGAAAGCGUGGGGAGCAAACAGGAUUAGAAACCCCGGUAGUCC